rnacentral:lncRNA from 1 species
UGCACCCACUCCUCGUAGCUCCACCUAUCCCGCUCUCACUCCGUCCCUGUUGUAUAGUUAUUAUUUCUUUCCCCUGUGGACCACUGUUUCUCCGAGUACUGCAGCAAGACUAAGCCUGCUAUAAAUCACAUUGCAUUAUCACCGCGCCGUUUUCGCCUCGCGCUUUUACCCGCCUACCAUGCAGCUCGGAUUGGCCAGUCCGCGUCCUUUCCCACCCUCUCCAAGAGAGGCUGCAGUGCAAUAGUGUCUCCCGCCCCCUUCCUUGGUGGCGAUGAUUGGAAGAAAGGAGUUCUCCUUGAACUGUCAAUCAUGCCUUUUCUUGCGCGCUUCGCAUUUGUUGUUUCUCGGAGCAAUGCAUUGAGUGCAGGGCGACAAGACGCGCUGCAUACCGACAAGAGAUAGAGGAGAGGAGGCUAAUUACGGGACGAAUUGUCUACUACAGAACGCAGUAUUGUAUCCAUUAGUUUGCAAUGUUCUGUCGAAUAUUUGGCAGAAAACAGUUGAGUAUUUACCUUCGUGUCUAGGUGCGUAUUUGAGCACAUUUGCUCUCCAAACCAUUGAAAACAACAUCAAUUCAGUGCCUGGAAUAUUUGAGAUUUUUGCACCAGGAUUUUGUCAUUUGGUAUUCCCUCUACGUCUACAAAAACAUCAACAAUCCUAAGGGGAAGGGGAAUCAUCAACGAGAAAAGUCAAGGGGAUAGACUCAUGUUUUUGUUCAGUCACAUGUAAAAGCAGUUGGUUAUUACUGUUGGACAUAAAUAAAACACACCAGGUAGAUCUUUUUACAUUUUUCCUGCAAAGGCUCCAUACAAGGGGACUACAGCGGUAUUCUACUACGAAAACAACAACUAAUAAUCCAUCGAAACAUCAAAACAUGAGCUGCCCAGUCUUACGAAACGUGUUCGCUGGUUUGCUCCUCGCUUUGCUGUCGAAAGGGCCAAGUGCGCACGGAGCUGAAUUCGGCCACCUGCCCGACAACAUUACAGUGCUGGAAGGAGAGAGCAUCAUUCUGAGGUAACUCUUCGAUCCUACACCUGCACCUACUAAUUACAUGUUCAAAUUGUUGUUUUUUUCCCUC